UACGGAGGGAGCUAGCGUUGUUCGGAAUUACUGGGCGUAAAGCGCGCGUAGGCGGCUUUGUAAGUUAGAGGUGAAAGCCCGGAGCUCAACUCCGGAAUUGCCUUUAAGACUGCAUCGCUAGAAUCAUGGAGAGGUGAGUGGAAUUCCGAGUGUAGAGGUGAAAAUUCGUAGAUAUUCGGAAGAACACCAGUGGCGAAGGCCGACUCACUGGACAUGUAUUGACGCUGAGGUGCGAAAGCGUGGGGAGCAAACAGG
rnacentral:rRNA from 1 species